GAUGAACUGCAAAUACCAUCAUCCAGGAGACCGGCUGUCUAAGAAACAGUAUGUAUGUAAGACUCGUAUAAAUUUUCAGAAAAAGCUCGAUUCCGCUGCCUUUUAGAUGAUGUUGAUGAUGAUUUUCUGCGAGUGUUGUUUCAAUUGCAGUGAAGUCAUCCGCAGCGACCACUUGAGCAAAGCAGGGACACGCUGGUUACCGCACGAAUGCUACCAACGGAAAGGUAGGUACCUCUUGUGCAGUGAUGUUGCUGAUAGGAGUUGCUAUUGCUUUGGAAUUCUCCUGAAACAGCCUCCCCUUGACAUGGCCGACUUAACUUGGUGCCUGUUUGUUUUGUUUUGUUUUGCAGCAUUGUCUUGAUGUGUGAGCAGGUGUUGUUAGAGCAGGCUGGCUGGCUCAAGUGUGAGCGUGACUGACGACUGAAGAGAGAGGAGUAGGAGGAUUCUGAUGAAUGAACUAAAGCUUGGAGCUAAUAUAAUCGUCAUCGUUUUUCUGGG
rnacentral:lncRNA from 1 species